GAGUCUUCUCCAGCACUACAGUUCAAAAGCAUCAAUUCUUUGGUGCUCUGCCUUCCUUAUGGUCCAACUCUCACAGCCAUAUGUGACUACUGGAAAAAUCAUAGCUUUGACCAGAUGGACAUUAUUAACCUUUUAUCAUGUAGCAGACUGCCUGGUUGAUAACAGGUAUGGUUGCCAUGGAGCCCCUGGUUUGUUUUGUUUGAAGUAUUAUUUUUCAAUGAAGUAGUUCAUGCUCCCAUGAGGAUCCAUAGGGAAAAUCAGGUAGGUUUCUAGGGUCCAUGGGGUUAUCUGUGCCUGGGGUGCUUCUCCAGGGUAGGGGAGGGUUUGCCAUCCUUGACAGCUCGGCCACCAUCAUGGAAGUGUGGCCAGCCGCUUAUCCACCUUGGAUGCGCCGUAGAUGAUGUAUCAUAAUCACGGCCGUGUGGCGGCUGAGAGACAGGCUCCAGCCAGUGUGUGCUGGCUCAUAGCGUUUUCCUGAUGGAUGGAGCCUAUUCUGGGAAGCAGCUUAUUGUCUCACGUGAACAGGCUUUCUAAAAUAAAUGACUGCUUUCUUAAUAUUUUGAAUCAUUUUCUUCAGCGCAUGUUUUGUAGCCGUGGUUUGAAAGCUUGCCAAAUAUAUGCCUUUGCACAGCUCCCUGUAGGGCUGGAUAUACAACCAGACCAAACAGUGUGAUUUAAGGUUGAACAUAAUUGGGAACUCGGCAAUCACUUGCCUUGCAUUUGAUAGAAUGGCAGCGGAGUGCUCUAGAGUUAUUCCUGUGUUAAAAAUUAUAUGCGUAACACAGAAGCGCACACACAUACAUAGUCUCACCACCUCAUAAUAAAGACAUCAUGCCUGAGACGAUUGGGCAAAAACAGUAGCUUGAUAAAUAAUUACUUGACUUUUGUGAUGGAGACAAUAAUUAACUUCAGACAGAUCCUAGUGUUGACACCACAGAUCUAUCUGAGGACUUUAGUCAAAUUAUAUAAGGAUGCAGGACAGAAAAAAAUCAGACAGUGGCAGAAAUACAUUUAAAAUACAAUCCUUUGUCAAGUUUUUCAUCAGUUGAUCUGCUCCUUGUUUCUGUGGACUUGAGCAGUUGAGCCAUAAACUUGGUAAACUUGAUGCUGCCUCCUUGUUCAAGGUAUUACAUUUCUUUUUUUUUUAUUUUAAUUUUUGGUCACACCGAGCAGCAUGUGAGAUCGUAGUUCCUUGAUCAGGGAUUGAAUCCAUGCCCCCUGCAGUGAAAGCGUGGAGUCUUAACCACUGGUCCACCAGGGAAGUCCCAGUUUUUACAUUUCAAACUCUGCUAUGUGUUUGUUAUCAUUGGAUUGCUGGUUACUUGUCAUCGAGACCUUAUUAUGUGCCUCGUGUGCUGGUGGAAAAAGGCCAUUAACAGCCCCACUCCCCAGAGCUCUUUGAAAAAUCACAUGUGAAAUCCAACAUUUAAUAGAGGGUAAUAGAGGGUGGAGAUGCACUGAGACCUCUGCUUUAUUCCUGGGCUGCGGGUGUUCUCCAGGCUUGUUGCUGGCAUUGAUACCACACUGGGGAAUGAGGUGAUGUCUGGAAGGAAUGCCUAAACUCCCCAAUGAUGGCAUCCCCCUGCCACAUAGCCACACAGCCUUCCCACCUCACUUGUAAGAGGACGUUAAUCUAGCAAGAGAAGGAAAUAAAGCUCAGAGAUAAAAAUUUGCCAUCACAAAUUAAGUGAAAUUUCUCCAAGGCUUUUGUUUUUUUUUAAUGAAAUUUUGAACACUUUCCAAUCAUUGAAAAGCACCUAUCCUUUGUAGUUUCAGACAAAGUAAUCUAACUCCAGAAUGUAACCUGUAUUUGCAAACAACAUGACUAUGAAAAAUCCUGGGGAAUAUAUGUAUUUGUGCCACAAGAAGGAAUGAGUGGAUUCAACAAGGCUGCAGGAUACAAAGUCAAUUGUAUUUUUAUAUAUUAAGGGGAGAAGGAAGAAAUUUAAUCAGUACCAUUUACAGUAGUUUCAAAAACAUCAAACACCUUAGAAUAAAACUGAGUAAAUGAGUGUAAGACUUCUCCACUGAAAACUACAAAACAUUGCUGAGAGAAAUGAGAGAUUUACGUAAAUGGUGGGCUCUACUGUGGAUUGAGAGAUUCAGUUUUGUUAAGAUUCAUUUUUUUCCUUAAAUUGAUUUAUGAAUUCUGUGCCAUCCCAGUCAAAAUUCAGACAAGCUGAUUAUAAAGUUUAUAUGGAAAUACAAAGGAGCUAGAAAAAUCAAAUCAAGUUUGAAAAGAACAAAGUUAGAAGAUUGUAUUGCCUGAUUUCAAGACUUCCUAUAAAGCGCCUGUAAUCAAGACAGUGUAGUAUUGUAGAGGGAUAGACACACAGAUCAAUGGGACAGAAUAGACAGUCCAGAAAUAGACCCACACAUACGUGGUCAAUUGAUUUCGACAAAGGUGCAAAGGCAAUUCAAUGGAGAAAGGAUGGUGUUUUCAACAAAUUAUAAUGGAACAAUGAGACAUUGUAUGCAAAAAACAUGAACCUCAACCCUUAUCUUGGACCAUAUAUAAAAAUGAACUCAAAACGGAUUAUAGGCCUAAGUUUAGAUUCUAAAACUUGAAAGUUUCCAGAAGAAAAAAAAAUUUUUUUUGUGACUUUGGAACAAGCAAAGAUUUCUUAGCACAAUCUGCAAGAGAAAGAAAAUGGAUUUCAGACUUCAUCAAAAUUUUAAAAUUCUGUUCUUCCAAAGAUACUGUUAAGACAGUGGAAAGACAAGCCACAGACUGGGAGGAAACUUUUGCAAAGCAUAUGUCUAAUACAGGACUUCUAUCCAGGACGUGUGAAGAACUCUUAAAACUCAAUAAAAUGAAAACAACCCAGUUUAAAAAUGGGCAAGAGAUUUGAAUAGACGCCUUAAAAUGUUUAAGAAAAUCUUAAAUCUGUACUUACAGUAUGACCCAGCAAUCCCACUGCUAGGUAUUUACCCAAGAGAAUGAGAAGUUAUGUCAACAGUGGCUUUAUUCGCGAUUUCUAGUAGCUGAAAACCCAAAUGUCAUUCAUUCAAGUGGUGAAUGAAUCACCAUCUUCCUUGGAAUACUGUCAGCAGUAAAAAGAAACUGAUACAACAUGGCCAGAUCUCACAAGCAUUCUUUGUAGUGAGAAGAAGCCAGACUCAACAGGAAAUCUUUUAUUUCCACAUAGUUCUACCUGAUAUUCUGGAAAAAGUAGAAUUAUUCAGAAAUAAAACAGAUCAGUGGUUGCUGGGGGUUGGAGAUGGAGGGGUGCUGGCUGAGAAAAGCACAUGGGAACUUUGGGGGAUGACAGAAAUCUACAUAUUUUGAUUAUGGUUGUGGUUCUACAACUCUGUCAGAAUGUAUACACCUAUGCACUUUGUGUAGGCACUUCACAAGAUCCCCAAAUGGGCAAUAGAGUAGACGCGUGGAAAGGUGCUCGACAUCUCACUCAUCAGGGAAUACAGAUUAAAAUCACCAUGAGAUACCACCUAUUAGAAUGGCUCAGAUGAGAAAGACCGCCAACAUCAAAUAUCGGUGAGAUUGUGGACUAUUACAAGCAUUCAGUGGUACAACAACCUCUUUGGAGACUUGUUUGGCACUUUUUAUGAAACUGAACAUCUGCACUGUGAUCCAGCAAUUCCACUACUUAGAAGAAAAUACACGUUCAUGAAAGGACUUGCAGAGGAAUGUUUAUAUAAAGCCCCAGGCUGGAAACAGCCCACAUAUCCAUCAUCUGAAAAUGGGGUAAAUAAAUUAUUAUCACAACGGUAUACCACUGAGCUAUAAGAAGAGUGAACUGCUGAUACAACCAUUUGGAUGGAUCUAGAAAACAAAAGAAGUACAAACCAGUCUGUGGUGGUUAAGUGGGCAGGGAGGGGAAGUUACUGGGAAGAGCCGGGAAGCUUCCUGGGUAAUGGAGAAGAAAGAACUAAAUGCGGAUUGGGGCUGUGAUCACCUGAGCACAGGUAGUUGUUAAAACUUGUGGAACAGAUUAAGAUCUGUACAUUGUAUUGUAUGUUAAUUAUAUGUUAGUGAAAGUAUUUUACGAGCUCACUCAACAUUUUAUUGAGUCCUGAUUUUUUUUUAGCCAUUCUGUUUGGUUAUCAUGAUGUGCCUUUCGCAUAACCCAUGUGUUUCUAUUUGGUACAUGUUGUUAAUGUUAUCCAGUAUUCUACUGGAGUUACGAGGGAAGGCUCAACUUCUGAUUGAUUGAUUUCACAUGGCUGAAAGCUUCAGGCCAUCAAGAGGAGAGGCACCUCAAGGGAUGCAGAUGGACCUGGUGUUGCAAGUCCCACCCGAGUGUCUGCGCUCUGGCCGCGGGAGCCCCUCACCUGCUCUGGGGCGUGAGCCCUUGGACUCAUCCACCAUCUCUUUGGACGAACAGGAAGGACCACUCUGGGAUAUGGAUGCCUUCCAGCGUCGAUGCUAAGAAGAGGGAUUGCCUGUUUAUGUCAUGUCCAAGUGGUCCUGGCAAUCCAACUCUCCCAGGCUUUUCCAGAGGAGGGGUGGGAAGGAGACUGGGGAGAAACCCACGCCCUUCCUGGAGUCUUCCCACAGGAGAUGGGAAGUCUGAUCUCCUUACAGAGGAAUUGUCUUCCACGCCAAGAACAGUCAUGUCUGCUCCUUCCUCGCUCCUGGGAGGGCUUUGGGUGGGCUGUGGUCCCUCUUCUGGCCUUAAAUGAAGUGGAACUUGGAGCCAGAGAAAGGACUCUAUUGUAGCUAGCUUCUACUCCACUGACACGGCAAGGAAGGACAGUCAGGGAUGUGGCCCCGCUGGAGCGGGCAUUUUUCACUGAUGCCUUUAAUAAUUACUAUUUAAGCAACAGAAGGCAGAGUGAGAUUGUCUCAAAGGCACACCAGAGCCACAGGAGUUUGGAAGUUGGCUCAGAAAUCUGCUUCCCCUCCCCACUUAGUGGCCAUUACUUCGAUGUAUUUUUUAUUUCAUUUUCCCUCCCCCUGGUUUUUGAGCACGGCAGUCUUCUCCCUAAAGGGAGUGGGGGAGGAAGGUGUUCUGUGAAAUAUUCUCACACAGUUAUUAUUUGCCUGGGGCCAGCGCAGGUUUCUUCAGUAAAUCAAAAUAUGCAUUUUAGCGAAGUUGAAAACCUCCCUGGCUGAGCCGCUGCAGGUGACAGAGGCGGAGCGGAGGUGACCCACGAGGAGGUGGGGGCUGGCGCUGUCUGUACGCUGUCAGGGUCCCUGGGGCAGGGGGAAGAGGAAAUAGAGACGUCAAUUUUAGGCCUCAAUAUUUAAAUAUUUUUGAUUUGUCUGCUCUAUU